rnacentral:piRNA from 1 species
UAAGAACCAAGAUCAGGCAUAAUCCCA